rnacentral:lncRNA from 1 species
UCUUUGGUAAGGCUUGUCAAUUUCCAGCUCAUCUAGAGCAUAAGGCACUAUGGGUGCUGAAGAAGCGAAUUUUUUAUUGGAAUGAGGCCGUUGAAUUGAGGAUUGAUCAGAAGAAUGAGUUGGAUAAAUUGACUACAAGCCUAUAAGAGCGCAUCACUGUACAAAGCUAAGUUAAUGAGCUAUCAGUUGCGACAUCUCUCGAAGGGUU